CCUUGACAUCCAGAGAACUUAGCAGAGAUGCUUUGGUGCCUUCGGGAACUCUGAGACAGGUGCUGCAUGGCUGUCGUCAGCUCGUGUUGUGAAAUGUUGGGUUAAGUCCGCAACGAGCGCAACCCUUAUCCUUUGUUGCCAGCGGUUCGGCCGGGAACUCAAAGAAGACUGCCGGUGAUAAACCGGAGGAAGGUGGGGAUGACGUCAAGUCAUCAUGGCCCUUACGGCCAGGGCUACACACGUGCUACAAUGGCGCAUACAAAGAGAAGCGACCUCGCGAGAGCAAGCGGACCUCAUAAAGUGCGUCGUAGUCCGGAUUGGAGUCUGCAACUCGACUCCAUGAAGUCGGAAUCGCUAGUAAUCGUAGAUCAGAAUGCUACGGUGAAUACGUUCCCGGGCCUUGUACACACCGCCCGUCACACCAUGGGAGUGGGUUGCAAAAGAAGUAGGUAGCUUAACCUUCGGGAGGGCGCUUACCACUUUGUGAUUCAUGACUGGGGUGAAGUCGUAACAAGGUAGGCGUAGACGU
rnacentral:rRNA from 1 species